AUACGUAGGGGGCGAGCGUUGUCCGGAAUGACUGGGCGUAAAGGGCGUGUAGGCGGCUGGAUAAGUCUGGAGUGAAAGUCCUGCAUUCAAUGUGGGAAUUGCUUUGGAGACUGUCUGGCUUGAGUGCGGAAGAGGUAAGUGGAAUUCCCAGUGUAGCGGUGAAAUGCGUAGAGAUUGGGAGGAACACCAGUGGCGAAGGCGGCUUACUGGGCUGUAACUGACGCUGAGGCGCGAAAGCGUGGGGAGCGAACAGGAUUAGAUACCCUGGUAGUCCACGUUGUAAACGAUGAAUGCUAGGUGUAGGGGGUAUCGACCCCUCCUGUGCCGGAGUAAACGCAAUAAGCAUUCCGCCUGGGGAGUACGGCCGCGAGGUUGAAACUCAAAUGAAUUGGCGGG
rnacentral:rRNA from 1 species